rnacentral:lncRNA from 1 species
AUUGUGUUUGAGGUCCUUAUGUUUCUACAGUCUUCUAGAGAUAAAAUACUCUCUGAAGCAUAGGAAUACAGCAAAUAGUUUUUCCUCCACUACUGUACAUUGGCUUUCACUUUUUUCACUACGAUAUGCAGAUAUGAAAUGCAGCUAAUGCUUGCUCUGAAAGGGACGGCUCAAUAAUAUCUGAGAAAUUUACUGGCUCCAGAUGUUCUUUGCAACAACAUUAUUUCUCCUGCCUAGGGGAAAAAAAAAACAAGGAAUGAUCCAGAGGAACCGUUGUUCUUCAGAUUUUCAGUUGUUCAAUAUGAUAUGUAAUAUGAAUGGCCCCUUCUAAGGGCUCACUAAAAUAAGGAAUAGCCUUGCACAGAAGAGUUGCUGAUUAUUAUUUGAAUGAAAGCCAAGUCACAGAGGAAAAGAAAUCUAGUUAGAUAAAAUAAUUUAGAGAUUAGUACUUUUCUACAUGUACGCUCUGCUUUAAGGAUAGAAUACAUUUUGAGAAUCAUGUUUCUAGCAGAAGCCUAUGACUUUAUCAGAAUGGUUCCAAUUCUGCUCAUGUCAGAUCUUUCUACAACACUGCUGUCUGGAAACUAUAUUUGUUUUGUACAGCAAGCUAGCUUAAAAAGGCCUUUUUCAUUCCCAAGGAUCAAUAUGAGCUACUUGGUUCUUUGUAGAAUUUUUUAUGAAGUAUUCCUAACCAAGGGCUUCAAAGUACCUCUAAUUUAAACUGCUGACUUGCAACUGCGCUUGUUUUACUCGGGAAUUUUUCCUUUUUCUAACACUAUUUUUGUAGCAAAGUAAAUCUGUUCUUUCUGGAAAUAGCUGUUUAAACUUGCAGUUCUGUGCAGUUCUUCUCUUUUGCUACAUUUAAGUUAAAUCUGUAAUGUUUAUUUUGGAAAUGAGUACACAGACCUAAGCACUAUUUUUGAUGGUUAUUGAUAUCAACUUUCUUCAAACCUGAAUCAUUAAAGCCACUCCUACUUACGUUCCUUUUCCCCCUAUUAUUGUUUCUAUAAUGCUUUUUUCUUGCCAUAUGAGAAAAAUAAACAGGCAACAGAACCUCUGUUCUGCUGUUCAUAUGCUG